CCUGCGGAGGGAUCAUUACAGAGUUAUCCAACUCCCAAACCCAUGUGAACUUAUCUCUUUGUUGCCUCGGCGCAAGCUACCCGGGACCUCGCGCCCCGGGCGGCCCGCCGGCGGACAAACCAAAACUCUUGUUAUCUUAGUUGAUUAUCUGAGUGUCUUAUUUAAUAAGUCAAAACUUUCAACAACGGAUCUCUUGGUUCUGGCAUCGAUGACGAACGCAGCGAAAUGCGAUAAGUAAUGUGAAUUGCAGAAUUCAGUGAAUCAUCGAAUCUUUGAACGCACAUUGCGCCCAUUAGUAUUCUAGUGGGCAUGCCUGUUCGAGCGUCAUUUCAACCCCUAAGCACAGCUUAUUGUUGGGAACCUACGGCUUCGUAGUUCCUCAAAGACAUUGGCGGAGUGGCAGUGGUCCUCUGAGCGUAGUAAUCUUUUAUCUCGCUUCUGUUAGGUGCUGCCCCCCCGGCCGUAAAACCCCCAAUUUUUUCUGGUUGACCUCGGAUCAGGUAGGAAUACCCGCUGAACUUAAGCAUAUCAAU
rnacentral:rRNA from 1 species